UACGUAGGGGGCAAGCGUUGUCCGGAAUCAUUGGGCGUAAAGCGCGCGUAGGCGGCCCGGUAAGUCCGUUGUGAAAGUCAAAGGCUCAACCUUUGAACGCCGAUGGAUACUGCCGGGCUAGAGUCCGGAAGAGGCGAGUGGAAUUCCUGGUGUAGCGGUGAAAUGCGCAGAUAUCAGGAGGAACACCGGUGGCGAAGGCGGGUCUCUGGGCAACAACUGACGCUGAGGAGCGAAAGCGUGGGGAGCAAACAGG
rnacentral:rRNA from 1 species